rnacentral:rRNA from 1 species
GGAAACUUGGAUUAAUGCCCCAUGGUAUCAUUUUAUCGCAUGAUAGGGUGAUUAAAGAUUUAUCGGACAGGGAUGGCCAUGCGUACCAUUAGUUAGUUGGUGGGGUAACGGCCCACCAAGGCAGCGAUGGUUAGGGGCCCUGAGAGGGGGAUCCCCCACACUGGUACUGAGACACGGACCAGACUCCUACGGGAGGCAGCAGUGAGGAAUAUUGGACAAUGGGCGGGAGCCUGAUCCAGCCAUGCCGCGUGCAGGAUGACGGCCCUAUGGGUUGUAAACUGCUUUUAUACGGGAAGAAACGCACCUACGUGUAGGUGUCUGACGGUACCGUAAGAAUAAGGACCGGCUAACUCCGUGCCAGCAGCCGCGGUAAUACGGAGGGUCCGAGCGUUAUCCGGAAUCAUUGGGUUUAAAGGGUCCGUAGGCGGGCCUGUAAGUCAGGGGUGAAAGUUUGUGGCUCAACCAUAAAAUUGCCUUUGAUACUGCAGGUCUUGAGUCAUGGUGGGGUUGCCGGAACAUGUGGUGUAGCGGUGAAAUGCAUAGAUAUCACAUAGAACACCGAUCGCGAAGGCAGGUGACCAACCAUGUACUGACGCUGAUGGACGAAAGCGUGGGUAGCGAACGGGAUUAGAUACCCCGGUAGUCCACGCCGUAAACGAUGGAUACUAGCUGUGGGGACUUCGGUCUCCGUGGCCAA